GUGGUGAACUCCACAUACGCAUCCUUUGCUGAGGAUACGGUUAACGGAGCGAAAGCGACGUUCAACCUCAAAAGAAGCAGAGGGGGCUUAGUGGUGGGGUGACUGCGUACCUUUUGUAUAAUGGGUCAGCGACUUAUAUUCUGUAGCAAGGUUAACCGCAUAGGGGAGCCGGAGGGAAACCGAGUCUUAACCGGGCGUUAAGUUGCAGGGUAUAGACCCGAAACCCGGUGAUCUAGCCAUGGGCAGGUUGAAGGUUGGGUAACACUAACUGGAGGACCGAACCGACUAAUGUUGAAAAAUUAGCGGAUGACCUGUGGCUGGGGGUGAAAGGCCAAUCAAACCGGGAGAUAGCUGGUUCUCCCCGAAAGCUAUUUAGGUAGCGCCUCGUGAAUUCAUCUCCGGGGGUAGAGCACUGUUUCGGCUAGGGGGCCAUCCCGGCUUACCAACCCGAUGCAAACUGCGAAUACCGGAGAAUGUUAUCACGGGAGACACACGGCGGGUGCUAACGUCCGUCGUGAAGAGGGAAACAACCCAGACCGCCAGCUAAGGUCCCAAAGUCAUGGUUAAGUGGGAAACGAUGUGGGAAGGCCCAGACAGCCAGGAUGUUGGCUUAGAAGCAGCCAUCAUUUAAAGAAAGCGUAAUAGCUCACUGGUCGAGUCGGCCUGCGCGGAAGAUGUAACGGGGCUAAACCAUGCACCGAAGCUGCGGCAGCGACACUGUGUGUUGUUGGGUAGGGGAGCGUUCUGUAAGCCUGUGAAGGUGGCCUGUGAGGGUUGCUGGAGGUAUCAGAAGUGCGAAUGCUGACAUAAGUAACGAUAAAGCGGGUGAAAAGCCCGCUCGCCGGAAGACCAAGGGUUCCUGUCCAACGUUAAUCGGGGCAGGGUGAGUCGACCCCUAAGGCGAGGCCGAAAGGCGUAGUCGAUGGGAAACGGGUUAAUAUUCCCGUACUUGGUGUUACUGCGAAGGGGGGACGGAGAAGGCUAUGUUGGCCGGGCGACGGUUGUCCCGGUUUAAGCGUGUAGGUGUGUGUUCCAGGUAAAUCCGGUUCACUUUAACACUGAGGCGUGACGACGAGGCACUACGGUGCUGAAGCAACAAAUGCCCUGCUUCCAGGAAAAGCCUCUAAGCAUCAGGUAACAUCAAAUCGUACCCCAAACCGACACAGGUGGUCAGGUAGAGAAUACCAAGGCGCUUGAGAGAACUCGGGUGAAGGAACUAGGCAAAAUGGUGCCGUAACUUCGGGAGAAGGCACGCUGACACGUAGGUGAAGUGAUUUACUCAUGGAGCUGAAGUCAGUCGAAGAUACCAGCUGGCUGCAACUGUUUAUUAAAAACACAGCACUGUGCAAACACGAAAGUGGACGUAUACGGUGUGACGCCUGCCCGGUGCCGGAAGGUUAAUUGAUGGGGUCAGCGCAAGCGAAGCUCCUGAUCGAAGCCCCGGUAAACGGCGGCCGUAACUAUAACGGUCCUAAGGUAGCGAAAUUCCUUGUCGGGUAAGUUCCGACCUGCACGAAUGGCGUAAUGAUGGCCAGGCUGUCUCCACCCGAGACUCAGUGAAAUUGAACUCGCUGUGAAGAUGCAGUGUACCCGCGGCAAGACGGAAAGACCCCGUGAACCUUUACUAUAGCUUGACACUGAACAUUGAGCCUUGAUGUGUAGGAUAGGUGGGAGGCUUUGAAGUGUGGACGCCAGUCUGC
rnacentral:rRNA from 1 species